CUCCCCCAAGAGUCCACAUCGACGGGGAGGUUUGGCACCUCGAUGUCGGCUCAUCACAUCCUGGGGCUGUAGUAGGUCCCAAGGGUUGGGCUGUUCGCCCAUUAAAGUGGUACGCGAGCUGGGUUAAGAACGUCGUGAGACAGUUCGGUCCCUAUCCGUCGCAGGCGUAGGAAAUUUGAGAAGACCUGUCCUUAGUACGAGAGGACCGGGAUGGACGUACCUCUGGUGUACCAGUUGU
rnacentral:rRNA from 1 species